ACUCAAAGGAAUUGACGGGGGCUCACACAAGCGGUGGAGGAUGUGGCUUAAUUCGAGGCUACGCGAAGAACCUUAUCCAGGCCUUGACAUGCACGGAUUAACCCGGUGAAAGCCGGGCCACGACUUCGGUUGGAACGUGCACAGGUGCUGCAUGGCUGUCGUCAGCUCGUGUCGUGAGAUGUCGGGUUAAGUCCCUUAACGAGCGAAACCCUUGUCUCUAGUUGCCAGCGGGUAAAGCCGGGGACUCUAGAGAGACUGCCGGUGUUAAACCGGAGGAAGGCGGGGAUGACGUCAAGUCCUCAUGGCCUUUAUGGCCUGGGCUGCACACGUCCUACAAUGGCGUCUACAAAGGGAAGCGAACUCGCGAGAGCAAGCAAAUCCCAAAAAGGGCGCCCCAGUUCGGAUUGCAGGCUGCAACUCGCCUGCAUGAAGCCGGAAUCGCUAGUAAUCGCCGGUCAGCAUACGGCGGUGAAUGUGUUCCUGAGCCUUGCACACACCGCCCGU
rnacentral:rRNA from 1 species